rnacentral:lncRNA from 1 species
AAAAAUCAUAGUGAAUCACAAUGAUUCUAUCAUAUCCACCGUGAUACCAAACAUAGGUUUAAUAUAAAAUAUUGUCAAGUGUGCUAUCGUAGUGCUAUCGUACUGUUGUGUUACGGAACUUGAACAAGCUGCUAUUUUCGGUGAUUUGCGAUUGACAACAUUGACUUGAAUAUAUUAAAGGAAAAUGAAACAAUUAGGAAGAUAAUAAUAUUCAAACAUGACAACGACCUCUGUAUAGCCAAAUCUGUGCUUUGCAAAUUCUCAGACUCCUCAUUUCCAUAUUUGUUUCUUUCAAGUUUCUAGCUGUAUGUUUCUGAUUCAGAUAUGUAUGUUAUUUGUCAAAUUUUCCUGGUUAAAGAAUCUUCUAGUUUGAUCGAAAAAGAUGAACGGUGUAUAAAAUUUGAAAGUUUAUAAAGGAUUUUUGUUAGAGUAAGAUAAUUAUAACUGGGGCAUUACAUAAUAAUCAACUUAUUACUUUGAGCGUAACCAUUUUGGAUAGUUGUUGCAUUAUGUUGAGUUCUGACGGUUCUUGGUUGGUUCUGUUUGCUUCUUUUAAGGUUAUCUUUUCGUCAUUUCAUGAAUGCCAUAGGUUAAUUUUCUCAUGAAAAAAAUGGACGAUGCUUUGCUAUGUAGGUUUUGCCACGCGAGCUUGAACUCGGCAGGAAAUGGGUCGUGGAGUCAGCAGUGGUGGCGGUCAGAGUUCCUUGGGUUAUCUCUUCGGUACUGGAGAGACUACCAACAACAAUGUUCAACGUGCAAAUAAUCAAGGCGAACCUUUAAGU